rnacentral:rRNA from 1 species
GAUGAACGCUGGCGGCGUGCCUAAUACAUGCAAGUCGAGCGAACAGACGAGAGUGCUUGCACUCUCUGACGUUAGCGGCGGACGGGUGAGUAACACGUGGGUAACCUACCUAUAAGACUGGGAUAACUUCGGGAAACCGGAGCUAAUACCGGAUAAUAUUUAGCUUCGCAUGAAGCAAUAGUGAAAGACGGUUCUGCUGUCACUUAUAGAUGGACCCGCGGUGUAUUAGCUAGUUGGUGAGGUAACGGCUCACCAAGGCAACGAUACAUAGCCGACCUGAGAGGGUGAUCGGCCACACUAGGACUGAGACACGGCCCAGACUCCUACGGGAGGCAGCAGUAGGGAAUCUUCCGCAAUGGACGAAAGUCUGACGGAGCAAUGCCGCGUGAGUGAAGAAGGUUUUCGGAUCGUAAAACUCUGUUGUAAGGGAAGAACAAGUACGUUAGUAACUGAACGUACCUUGACGGUACCUGACCAGAAAGCCACGGCUAACUACGUG